UAGGGAAUCUUCCACAAUGGGCGAAAGCCUGAUGGAGCAACGCCGCGUGUGUGAUGAAGGGUUUCGGCUCGUAAAACACUGCUGUAAGAGAAGAAUGACAUUGAGAGUAACUGUUCAAUGUGUGACGGUAUCUUACCAGAAAGGAACGGCUAAAUACGUGCCCG
rnacentral:rRNA from 1 species